GCUGUGUGAAAGUGAGCGUGACCGGACCGGUGGGAACACACAGGCACAAAUGAGGGAGAGGAAUGCAGUGCAGGGGAGUCUCACGUGCAAACAACAAGUCAGCAGCGUGGCCGCUCUGCAGCACGGCGACAUCACAAGUCCGUAACCAAAGGGCUCCAUCUGUGAUGUACCUAACAAGAUUCCUCACACAGCGCCAACCGCAACACAACAGCACGGAUGUAGUUGGUCAAAGCAGACGCGUCCCGUCAGAUUAAUCCAGCGUUUGUAUCAACCCUUCUACCCAUCCUACUCCACCACCCUACUUGUCAGUGUUAAAGUGAACGCAGGUCAACAGGCUACGUGUUCGUUGGCCUCUUUGCCGGUCCAGGAUUCCCCCUCCGUCCAGCAGACAGAUGCACGGGCUGCAC
ensembl:lncRNA